AAACUGAGAAAUCACAAGCAAAAGUUGAUUGGGAUUUUUGGUGCAGUUUCCAAUAAACCAUCGAACUUUUUUUUAAAUUCUCAGUGGAUUCAACAACGAUUAGAUUAUAUACAUAUUCAAUAGAAUGUUUAGAUCCAACUUCUUUAUCUAUCACGCAGCUGUUCAACGAUAUUGUAUGGAUUUAUAAUGAUAAAUAAUGGCCAACUCAGUUACGUUCACCAUUCAACAGAUUGAAAGAUUCAGCAAUCGUAUUGAAAAUUGCCUCACUGACCAAACUUGUCGGUCGAUUUUCGAAAAAUAUUUGAAAAUUCAGAAAAAUCCUAUGUGGUUGAAUGCUUUCAAGCUAUGGCAAACAGUUAAUUGCACCAAUACCUGGAACGAAGCUGAGAUGCUUUACCUAAUUGAAGAAGUUGAUGAUUUUAGAAAUAAUCCAUUGCUUACCAUCGCAGAGUGUCAACAUAAACUAGACUAUACCAAAGAAGAGUGUUGUAGAAUAUUAGAGAAAUCUUUAAAGGGAUUUUCUAAUUAUUUAAAUAGGUAUCAUAAAGUAGGUGGUUUCUGUUAAGAGAAGCAUCGAUGGAGAUUACAUUACUACCAACUCGUGUGAUACAUCACCAUAUAUUAGUUUCAUUUCGGCAAUUGAAAAUGUAGCUCAUUUGUCAAUUUAAAAAUUCUUUUAUCAUCAAUACACUUGGGAAUCAUUGGACUAUAAAGGGUUUAUCCGUUGUUACUAGAUUUAUUUAUGUUCUUCCACUUAGUAUGAAAUACUAGACGUCCAGUGAUUUUUUGUAAUAUUAUGUAAUAUAGAUAUUAUUUGUUUAAA
rnacentral:lncRNA from 1 species